CACAAGGGGUGAAGCCUGCGGUUCAAUUGGAGUCAACGCCAGGAAACUUACCAGGAGAGACAGCAGGUUGAGGGUCAAGCUGAAGACUUUACCUGACGAGCUGAGAGGAGGUGCAUGGCCGUCGCCAGCUCGUGCCGUGAGGCGUCCUGUUAAGUCAGGCAACGAGCGAGACCCCUGUUGGUAAUUGCUAACAGUCCAGAGAUGGAUUGAGGCUAGUUACCAAGACUGCCGCUGCUAAAGCGGAGGAAGGAGGGGGCCACGGCAGGUCAGUAUGCCCCGAAACUCCUGGGCCACACGCGGGCUGCAAUGGUAAGGACAAUCGGUUCCGACCUCGAAAGAGGAAGGCAAUCCACAAACCUUACCCCAGUUGUGAUUGAGGGUUGAAACCCGCCCUCAUGAAUAUGGAAUCCCUAGUAACCGCGUGUCAUCACCGCGCGGUGAAUACGUCCCUGCUCC
rnacentral:rRNA from 1 species